CCUGCAAGGGAGCUCUGAAGAAGGGCUGAGAGGGGAAACAUCCCGACCUUACCUGAUGUGGAUAAUGCCAACGUAGGGACGCAGUGA
rnacentral:ncRNA from 1 species